rnacentral:lncRNA from 1 species
GAAAGCUGUAUCCCUUCUAGCCAUGGGCUGGGAAAGGGGAAGUGACGAUGACGUUGAGUUUGUUAUAUAACUCAAUGGCUCUGGUCUGUUGUUAUUUGGGGAAGUAGAGUUCUGACAGACGUUCUUGCCUCAGCUGAAAACGUUAGCUAGAUUUCUCUACUGGAGUACUCGCUCUCAAACUACAAAGUCAGGACAACUGUAACUGAACGAAGUGAAGGAUCUAGCUAUCUUACACUUAGAAGUUAUUUGACUAGUGGAAACGUCGUCGGAUAGAGAGACUUGCUAGUAGCUAGCUAACUAAAUAACUACAAUGGAGCAGGUUAGCUAACUUUACAUCGUUCAUUCUGUUCUGGUUUGUUGUAGUGUCACAAUAAUAAUCACUAGUGAUGGGGAAACUAAGCUUCCUGAAGCAUUGAGGCUGUCCAGCACUAAGAUGAACACAACGCUAGCCCGCCCCCCUCCGCCCUCAUGGAAUCCCCCGGGUUGCGCCUCUUCCAGUAGUGCCUUACUACUGGGUCUGAAGAGGUUGUCUGUGCGGCUGGUCGACUGCAGGAAAACACUGGGGCUGAGUCGAACUAUGAGAGUAGGAGACGUGGAGAAGGCUGGAGAUUUAACUGAUCAAAGAGAGAGACGUGACUGUUGUGGAUCCUCUGGGUCUCCUGAGUCUCAACAUCCUGAUACUGACGAGGCAGCACCUCUCUAGAUCGGAAACACUUCAAGAAAACACCAGGGGAGACCCACCGGGAAACAAACCUCACAGCUACCCUGACUGUGGGAAGAGUUGCAACUCUUCCUCAAAACUUAAAGUAUACCAGCGAACACAUACAGGAGAGAAACCAUACAGCUGUGUUAAAUGUGGGAACAGCCCUGACUGCACAUGAGAACAAACACUGGAGAAAAACCUUACAGCUGCUCCCAUUUGUAGUAAGAUGUUCUCUAAAAUGGGAAAUCUGAUAGGACACCAAUGAACACACAGAAGAGAAACCGUACCACUGCUCUAACUAUGGAAAGAGUUUUGCUGACUCAAGAAACCUGAAAGUUAAUCAGAGAGCACACACUGGAGAGAGGCCUUCUUACAGCUGUGACCAAUGUGGGAAAACAUUCACUCAGUCAGCACACCUGACUUUACACCUGCAGAAACACAAAGGAGAGAAGUCUAACCCCUGCACUGACUGUGGGAUGAGCUUUUUAACAGUCACAAGCAUUAAAUACAUACCAGAGAACACACACACUGAAGAGUAACCUUACCACUGCACACGGUGGGAAGAGUUUUCACAAUCGAGUGCUUAAAGUGAAUUUUCAGCAUGACUAAAUGUAUUUCUCUAUCACUGGGUUUUAUAGCAUGGAUCGAAAUGCGUAGUGAUAUGAGCUCUCUGUGUGGGGAGGUUUGGGGAGAGGUUGGUACACGCAUGAUGACUUUAUAUAGUUUCAUUUACUUCUAGCUGAAUCAUGCCUGUUCUAACAAUAUAUUCACAUGUUUACAAAGUAUGAUUAAAGUAAAAAAAAAUUAUAAUAAUACAUCUGCUUGCAACUUUAUUACAUUUAAUUUCAUGAAACCUUUGUGUUAACUUUCAUUUAUUUUUUUUAUUUUUUAAAGCUCCUAAUUAUAAAAUCAUAACUUGUACACAAAUAAAGAAGAGUCUGAUUCAGGGUGGGAAAACAGGAAGUGACGAUAACGUUGGGUUUCUUAUGUUUAGUGUUCUUGUAGGUCAGAUGUCCAGUAGGGUGGCGAGAGGAGUGUACUUCUAAUAUAUUGCUUGUUCUCUAAAGUAAGCAAUAGAAGUCUAGACUAGCCUGAGUGGUUUAGGAGCAAUGCUGAAUCCUGACCCAUCUAAUGGCUGAUCGAUCUAGACUAACGUGUGGAUAAGGCCGCCAAAUAUUUGGUGUUGAACAGGAAAUGACUGUGUUGUGACAAAACCAGAUACUUUCCCCUCACUGGUUGCUUUGAUAAAAGUAAUUUUGUCCUUACACUGUACACAGACAUUUAAAAUCGACAUGAAUAUAAAACACAGAAUUGCCUGCCUUUGGUCCUGGAUAAUUACUGGAUUUGUAGACUUUUGUUCCAGCCCAACAGUAACAGACCGCAUUACAAUUCGAA